CCUUCCGUAGGUGAACCUGCGGAGGGAUCAUUACACAACAAAAUAUGAAGGCCUGGCUUUCGCGGCCGGCUGAAGUAUUUUUUUCACCCAUGUCUUUUGCGCACUUGUUGUUUCCUGGGCGGGUUCGCCCGCCACCAGGACCAAACCAUAAACCUUUUUUUCUUAUGCAGUUUCCAUCAGCGUCAGUAAAAACAAUGUAAUUAUUACAACUUUCAACAACGGAUCUCUUGGUUCUGGCAUCGAUGAAGAACGCAGCGAAAUGCGAUACGUAGUGUGAAUUGCAGAAUUCAGUGAAUCAUCGAAUCUUUGAACGCACAUUGCGCCCUUUGGUAUUCCAAAGGGCAUGCCUGUUCGAGCGUCAUUUGUACCUUCAAGCUUUGCUUGGUGUUGGGCGUUUUUUUGUCUCCCUCUUUCUGGGAGACUCGCCUUAAAACGAUUGGCAGCCGGCCUACUGGUUUCGGAGCGCAGCACAUUUUUUGCGCUUUGUAUCAGGAGAAAAGGACGGUACUCCAUCAAGACUCUACAUUUUUCACUUUUGACCUCGGAUCAGGUAGGGAUACCCGCUGAACUUAAGCAUAUCAAUAAGCGGAGGAA
rnacentral:rRNA from 1 species